rnacentral:piRNA from 1 species
CCCACUGGUAGCUGGGGGCUGGA